rnacentral:lncRNA from 1 species
UGUCCAAUUGUAAUAUGCCACGUGUACGCUACACGUAAAUAUAAAAGACUAACUAUAAUAUGAAGUAAAGGGAAAAGAAAAUCGAAAAAAUUUAAAAUUGAUACAAAAUUGGUUUGAUUUAGAUUAAUUUUUUUAUUCGAUUUAAAUUAUAUUUGGUAUACAUAUGAAAUUUUGAAUUAGAUUUCAUAUUAGAACGUAAAAAAUUAUAAAAAAAAUCAAAUAGAAUCAGAUUAUAUUUUUAUUAAUUUAUAUAUAUUAAAAUUUUUAUAAAAUAAAAAUAAUUAUUUUGUAUAUAAAUUUAUUUAAAAAUAUUUAAAAUUUUAUUAAAAUAAUAUAUAAAAAUUUAAAAUUUAAAAAUUGAUGAAUCAAAUUGUAUCAAUAAAAUUUAAUUUAGAUCAAAUUAAUUUAAAAAAUAAAUUAAUUUAAAUUAAAAUCAAAAUUUAAAAUUUUAUAAUAUUAUAUAUUAUUAAAAAAAUAAAAUCGAAUCUGAUUUAAUUUGUUAUGUUAUUAUCUAUUUAUUAAGUAUCAUGUAACGGACAAGUGGCUAUCAAACAUUGGUUCACCUGAACUGAAAAAAUUACUGCAUCCAAUUAAAAACAUCGGUCAGAACUCAAAUGCCCAGCCAACGAUAGCCACCUAGCUUCGGCGGCAAUUUUCUUUCAUCUUGUCAUUUUCUUUUCCGGUUCUCGUCUUCCCUCUUACUUCUACAGUUCCACUCCCAUCGUACUGUAAUAAACAUAAAUCUUACAAUCAAAAUCACACAAAAUUCAAUAGAAAGAAACCAAAGUAUUGAACAAAAUAAUCAACCCAUAAUCGAAUAAAACAAGAUUCAACAAAAAAACUUAACAAUAAUCAAAUUCACCCAAAAUUCCACUAAACCAAACUAAUAAUCAAAGGAAACAUAAAUAACCCAUCAAUUUCAAGAUUGUAUAAGUGUGAGGAAACGAAACAAAACGAAGUGAUUUAGGAGGAAGCAAAAUUAAACAGGAAAAACUAAAGACAGGAAAGAGGGGAUGAUGGUGGCUGUAAGGAGGAAUCUAGUUGUGGAACCGUGGCCAUGGUUGAAGAGCAGAAAUUGGGUACUGCCACCUAGGCUCAUUGGUUUAACGGCAUGAAGUUCAUGAAGUUUAUGGACUAACGACGCACACGAUUUUGAGGUUUAAGGGGUGAAUUGUAACUUUUUUUAGUUUAGG